rnacentral:rRNA from 1 species
UACAGAGGGGGCAAGCGUUGUUCGGAAUUACUGGGCGUAAAGGGCGCGUAGGCGGCCUGUUAAGUCGAACGUGAAAUCCCCGGGCUCAACCCGGGAACUGCGUCCGAUACUGGCAGGCUUGAAUUCGGGAGAGGGAUGUGGAAUUCCAGGUGUAGCGGUGAAAUGCGUAGAUAUCUGGAGGAACACCGGUGGCGAAGGCGGCGAUGCCUGGACCGG